rnacentral:rRNA from 1 species
UGAGCGACCUACCUAAUUGUGGGGGAUAGCCGGCCCAACGGCCGGGUAAUACCGCAUACGAUCGGAGAGGGGCAUCCCUUUCUGAGGAAAGCCUUCGGGCGCAAUUUGAGGGGCUCGCGGCCUAUCAGCUAGUUGGCGGGGUAACGGCCCACCAAGGCGACGACGGGUAGCUGGU